GAUAAACGCUGGCGGCAUGCCUAAUACAUGCAAGUCGAACGAAGGUGCUUGCACCUUAGUGGCGAACAAAAGAGUAACACGUAUCUAAUCUACCUUUUAGUGGGGGAUAGCCUUUGGAAACGAAGGGUAAUACCGCAUAUGACCACCAUUAUGGCAUCAGAAGGUGAGGAAAGACCCAUUUGGGUCGCUAGAAGAUGAGGAUGCGGCGUAUUAGCUAGUAGGCGGGAUAAUAGCCCACCUAGGCAAUGAUACGUAGCCGAACUGAGAGGUUGAUCGGCCACAUUGGGACUGAGAUACGGCCCAGACUCCUACGGGAGGCAGCAGUAGGGAAUUUUUCACAAUGGACGAAAGUCUGAUGAAGCUNUNCCGCGUGAGUGAUGAAGGUCUUCGGAUUGUAAANNCNCUUNUAAGGGAAGAAAUGACUAUAUAGGAAAUGAUCUAGUU
rnacentral:rRNA from 1 species